rnacentral:lncRNA from 1 species
GUAGGAAAAAACUCCUGCCAUUAACCUGGUGUAUUUGAAUGAGUGGAGUCAUAUAUGUUCUAUGACAGAUAAAAAUAAUUGUAUGUGCAGUGUUUGGGCAUAAGUAUCAAUCUAUUUUGCUGCUCACCACAUUUCUGCUACUGCUAUUAAAUAACUGUGUCAUCUGUAGCUCUUGUAAUGCUUUACAUCUUUAACAGGGGAGCGGAAAGGGCUUGAAUAAAGAAACAGUAAAAUUUUGCUGCCAUUGUGAUUAUGUGUCAUUGUCCGGUUGGAACCAAGCUAGGCCCGACAUGUGAGAUCCCCUGGUGUACUAUAUGCAUUUCCAAGACUCUCCUCUACCACACAUUUGCUAAUGAAGAACCCAUAAAUUUAUAAUAUGACAGUUUUCAUUCACAAUUGAAUGAAUUGGGCACACACAAUGGCCUAUACCGAGGAAGUGAACAUUUGAAGGCAGCAUUAAAUGUCCAUUUAAUCAAAGAGUAAGAAGCAAUAAAGACUAUGGCUUUAAGAACAUACAGGGGAGCUGUGCUGCACAAGAGUGUGUGUGUGUUGUUACGGGGAGAGUCUUGCUGCUCAGGAAUGGCAAAGAAAUGUGUUUACGUUUACUGCUGCCAAGAUCCUGUCAGGAGCCGAUCCAAAAAUCCAGAGAGCAGCAGCAAACUAUACUACACACUAUAUUACACAACACUGCAGUGCAAUACACUAUACUACACAAUACACUGCACUACAUAAUGUUAUAUUAUUCAAGACUCCUUCCUGGACAAUAUAUUAUACUACAAUGUAGCUCCUUCCUUCACAUUACAGUACACAAUAGCACAUAACACUGCACUAUAAACUGGAGUACAUUACAACUCCCCCUGUACACACAUUAAUCUGCACUACUAUAUAACACACUUUAACUGUUUUGUAGCAGCUCCCUUUGCUACACCAAACUAUUCUACAGACAUUCCAGGUUCACUGGAAAAACACACCUGUGGUGACAUUUCUGCAAAAUAAAAGUUUCACAUUCAAAUUUCAAAACAGAUGAAUUUCAUUUGGCAACAUUUUAUGUUAGAUGUUGUACUGUAGGUAUUGUGUAUAAACCCUACCCUAAACCUAACCGACAGUGUUAACUAUAGCUAACAUGACAUAAAAACGUAUUUGCUGACACAACCAUUCCAUUUUAGCUUGUCUACAAAGUAGCAAGUUAAUUUGAGUUGCGUGACUUUUGAGUUCUUUUGCAAGUGCAGUACUAUACCAGGUGAGCUACCGAGCAAGUUUACUACAUCAGAAAAGCCACAUAUACAGAGCUGGUAAUGUGGUGUCAAUGUGACGAUGUAUUAGUUUCAUGCAGUGUGUUUUGAGGUCAUAACAUUGUAUUGUGCAAGGAACCAUGUAAACUAAGUCUUUAUUAAGCGAUAAUCUGCAAAGUAAUCAUCACUUGUAAUAAUAAAAACGUGAACAUUUGUGAAAAGGUUCUUUGUCUUACUGUACACAGCAACUGGUGAUCACUUCAGCUGGAAACUGCAAUAAAUUUUAAUAUACAACAUGUACAUUUUUCCAAUGAGCCUAUGUUAUUGAAAGACUAAUACUAUAUAUUAAACUACACUAUGGUUAUUCACAUUAUCCUAUACUACUUUACACCUAUCUUCGGUAUUACAACACUUCACUAAAGUUCCCAAUGUUAACAAAAAUAGAACUUAACCUUUAUCUUAAUGUUUUUUUAUUAUUUUUUUUUUUUUUAUUUGUCUAAUUAUUAAUUAUUCUAGAGACUGAAAAUAGGUUAGUUUUUUUAUUAUUUUUUUUUUUUAUUUGCAAUUAUUAAUAUUCAGAGACUGAAAAUGGACACCAGUGUAACAAGCACACGGCAUUGAACAGACAAUGCUCCAGCAUUCGUAAUGUGCAGUCUUGGAUGUAGGCCUAGGCCUAGCAAAACACCACAACAUUUACUGCCAUUAAACAACAAUCACAAGAUGGGAUGAAAAAAUCCUCAAGUAAUGUAAUAACACCUCUAAAACACAUACACCAAAUUGAUACAAAUGUGUCUGACAGACGGCACAAAGUUUGUUUGUGGAGAUCCCACCAGCACUGAGUUGGGUGUUAGACUGAUACUGUGGACUGACUCAAAGCCAAACCAACACAUCAGACCACAGAUCGCAUCUGACAGCUCACAUGAUCAGAGAAGAAGUCCACUCUGAAAGGCUGAAGACAUGGGAAAUCAGUGUUAAACGGAUGUUUGUGAUUCCCAUUCACUUAUCAACCACAAUGUUGGAUUUUUGUUGACAUUUACUGAGUUUAAGAGGUUUGUUGUGAGGCCUGUUUAAAAUUAUUCAAUUUUGACUAAAUUGAAGAGCUCUGCAGACAAAUCAAAACACUGAAAUCUGUGUAUUGUACUGCGAUGGGUCCAGUGAGGGCUAGUUCUAUUAUAGCAAAUGAGAAAGGUAGUAAAUUUCUACCUUAAGUAUAUAUGCGGGACAUUUAGACCAAGAAUGAAACAAAAAAGCUCAUAACAUACUGCUUACAGCAUAUUUCUUGUGCCAUGUUUUGCUUGUUAACAUUUUGGCUUUUAUUUCCUUAUACUCAGUCUACUUAAGAAACAGAAAGUCAUUCUGUGGUCGGACAUUUUUCAUUCUUGAAUGUAUGAAUAAUGGCCUUAGAAUACAUUGUUUAGAUUAAUGUUCACAGCAAAAAUUCACUCUUAGUUCAUAAAGAUUACCUAGAAAUGAAAUUUCUGUUAUUAUUUGUGCUGCUCCAAAUGUGUAUGACUUUUUUCUUCUUCGUGUUCUUUCUUCACAUUACAAAGAAGAAACAGAAGCCAAACAGUUUUGGAAAGACUUGAGGGUGAGUAAAUAAUGACCGAAUUUUCAUUUGUGGGGAUCUCACAUUGAUGAUACAACACUGAAAUAACUUGAACCAAUGAACCAUUAGUGGGACUUUGAACUUUGAGUUGUUGACUCAAGAACACCUGCAAUCGGAUCAGUUUGAUUCAAGAAUGAAUCGUUCAGUUUGAUUUGUGAACCAAUUCAACUGGUUCAUUGAAAAGGUUCAAUGGACAGGUGCAUCUCAGUCUCUUGCAUCUCAGAGGGGCUGGUGAUUUCAUCAGUUCAGCGAGGAACAAUAUGUUUUUAUUAAAUGUAGUGGUGUAAAAAGUAUGAUACUAUGCUUUGGAAUGAAGUAAAAGUUUCCCAAAAUAAAAAUACUCUGAUAAAGUAUUAAAAUAGUAUUAAAAUAUUCGUCAAUAUGCACUUUCAAACUCAGUAUCAUGGCAGUAUCAUUAGUAUUUUUUUUUUCAGUCCGUUAAUAAAAUAGCAGACUAUCUUUGUUCUUUGUCUUAGGUCUUAAUUUUUAUUGUUGCCAAGUUUAAUUAUCCUAUAUCUGUACAAUUAAAUGAUAGAUUUCAAUUUUAUAAUAAUUUUAGAGGAAUACAUUUAACUGAAAUUUUACUGGAAAUUACACAAAUAAAUAUGUUCUGUUCACAUAAAACAUUUAGCUUGAUUUUUCUUUCUUUCUUUUUUUAUACAUAUAUUUUCUCAGUUUUGUUGUGCCUCUUUGGGUAAAAGUAGUGCUGCAAUUAUUGAUUAUGAUGAAAAUGACACCACAGUUAAAGAGACCUUUUGUCAUUUCUGCAUAAUAAAUAUUAAAAUAGUUUAUAAUUAUGUCCCUCUUUGAUUAUCAGUAACAAUGUUAUAUUAAAGUAAUAAUGUAAUAACUUAAGUAAUAAUGUAAUAACUACUAGUUAGCAACUAGUUUUAUUAUUUAUGAUAAAUUUUUUAAUGAAAAUUAUGCCACUAUACAAAAAAACAAAAAAAAAAAAAUUAAUAGACCACUAAUAACAAAAACAAAAAAAAAAAAAAAAGAUUUAGGGUUUGCAUAAUUUAGAAAUGUGCUUGACAGGUUGUACAACAUUUAUCUAAAUAUUAAAAACAUAAGAACAUAUUGGUAUUGUGUGGCUGUACACAAGCAUUCAGUCGUAGACAAGCAUUAUUCAAUCUGUUGUCAAUUUAAGCAUUGCACCUAAAUGUAGUUGUCAGUUCCAAAUACUGACAGUGUAAAAGAAUUAGAGAAGUCUUAAACUUAUUCAUCAAAUCAGCAACAAGCAUCCUGACAUUUAACUCAGUGUCUGUAAAUUCUAUUGUGAACAAAAAUGUGCAUUGAGCUGCCAUAAAGAGUUCCAAAUCAAUAACACGGAAAGAAGGAUUUCUGGGGGGUUUCCAGGCUGCAUUCCUCCCACUGAUCAAACAGAUUGGGAUAUCACUGGUUGUGUGUCUCUUGUUCAUGUUUGCCGGAAAACAAGUGACAUUAGUUUGUUCCAGCUGUCGCAGCUGGUCAGGCAUUGGGCUGAUGCCAUAAUACCGAACAUUAGCCAUCAACAGGGAUCAUAUUAAUUGUCCUGCAGAAGAGCAGAUGAAGCAGACCAAGCUUCAUUACAUCCGUAAGCCUGACUUUGUGACUGCAAACCCCAGAGGUGUCAUUGCACACAUUUUUCUGUCUUGUUUCUAUAAUGUAUCUUUCUUUUCUUUUCUGUUUCUCUUUUCAUCUUCAGUGACAGGAUUACUCACUCUGUUCAUGGGCUCAUGUGACCUUUAACCUCACUUCCCUACUCACUGGCGAUUUUGUUUCCUGUUUAUCGUGCUAGACCGACUCCGGGAUUGUAACUUUCCUCUGUCUCUCUCC